rnacentral:rRNA from 1 species
GAUGGAGGGGGAUAACUACUGGAAACGGUAGCUAAUACCGCAUAACGUCGCAAGACCAAAGAGGGGGACCUUAGGGCCUCUUGCCAUCGGAUGUGCCCAGAUGGGAUUAGCUAGUAGGUGGGGUAAUGGCUCACCUAGGCGACGAUCCCUAGCUGGUCUGAGAGGAUGACCAGCCACACUGGAACUGAGACACGGUCCAGACUCCUACG